GGACAGAACUGUCAGCAAGAUAUCAACGAGUGCACCAGCAAACCCUGCCAACAUGGAACCUGUGUGAACCAAGAUGGUGGCUACAAAUGUACCUGCUCACCUGGAUGGACUGGACAGAACUGUGACAUAGACCUGAAUGAGUGUACCAAAAACCCUUGCCAACAUGGAACCUGUGUGAACAAAGAUGGUGGAUACAAAUGUACCUGCUCACCUGGAUGGACUGGACAGAACUGUC